AACUGAUACUACCUGCGGGAACCUGCGGAGGGAUCAUUACCGAGUUCUCGCCCCUCGCGGGGUAGACCUCCCACCCACUGUGAUCACUACCGUCGUUGCUUUGGCGGGCCGCUGGGCCCAGCCCACCGCCGGCUCCGGCUGGCGUGUGCCCGCCAGAGGCCCUAUAAACGCUAGAUAUCAGUGCCGUCUGAGUACACAUGUUAAUCGUUAAAACUUUUAACAAUGGAUCUCUAGAUCGGA
rnacentral:misc_RNA from 1 species